GGCCAUAAUUUGUUGACCCAACUGCUUCUAUAAUGGGCCCUGUGAAAAGGCCGGCUCCUCAGCUCAGCUUAAAUCAUCCUACACACAGAACCUGGGUCAGGAACCAUCUGAAGGGAGGGUGGGAGACAAACCCAGGCUCUGUAGAGCAAGGCUACAGCACGAAGACCCAUGGCCCCACCACAGAGAGGAUGUCCUGAGAUUCGAUACAACCACCGGAGACACAAAUGUUUCAAUUUUCUUCCUGUGCCGGUGCAGCCAAGAUUGACCUCAAAAGAACAUUCCCUUUUUCUGGGGACUAUCAAACAUGGAGAUGGCUGAUCAGAACACUCACACACUCCUUCUUGAACAUCAGCAG